ensembl:lncRNA
UUUGAACAGCUGAUUUCUUUAAUAUAUGUGCAUGUUUAUAUUUGGAUUAAGGAUGACAUUGUUUCUUUGGUUUCACCAUGAACAUUUUCAGAGCGCUGAAGAUCCUUCAGCAUGAUUUCGAAAACAGCAAAUAAACUGUUUUAAAAAUCUGAAUGAGGGAUCACAAGGACAUAAAAGAAAGUCUCUGUUCAUCAAAAAAAGGUAUUCUUAGACACAAUCAUUAUAAUACAAUAGCUGUAUGCACUGAAUUCAAAGAAAGAAAUCAACUCAGAGUUGAACAAUAUAAAACUGAUUCUGCAAUAAAAGGGGUUGAGUCAUCAUAAAACUUCUGCCCAAAAUUAUACAGGAAAAUGAAACGAAAUAAAAUAACAUUAAAAGCCUCAUGUCCUAAAACCUACUGAGCAUACAUUACUAUUUGAUACUAAUCUCAAAUAUACAAAAGCUACUGUUGCUACAACUAAUACAAAACAAAGCGGCAUAAAGAACAACAAAGACACAGAGUACACAUGAAAUAUUAUAUAAAAGGUAAACACAACAACAUAUUUCACAGAAACAUUGUUCUGAUGACAAAACAACCAUGUUUCAUGACCAUAGUGCUGCAGCAAGAUUUGACAUUGACAUUGCAGCAAGGUAAUUUGUUCAUUUCCAUGCAAAGCAACGACUGGAUGAUCCAUUGAAAACAGUAAAGAUCUUCUAGGCUAAAAUGAAAAACUGGUUGGUUUCGUAAAAAAAAUAACUUCUCUGUUUGUAUUCUCUAUAGUCCUCUAUAGAGAACCAUGCAGAAAAUGCAUCAGACACAUCCUCAGGGCACCACUGUAUGAAAACUUUGGACUGCAAAAAUAAGAAAUUCUUAAAUCAAACCUUGUAUCACCGACACUUAAUUAAUUUUUUGAAAGAAGUGCUUGGUUUCAUGCAUAAAGAGGGGGUGAAUUUACGAUUUGGGCACAUGGUUGAUUGGAUCACAUAGUGCAAAACCCCUUUGGAAGACAAAGGACAUUUGGAUUGACCCUAACCCACUCAAAGAUCUGCAUCCACCAAAUGUAAAAAAAAGCAAUAAAAACUAAAACAAGUUCUUCUCUGGUAGACGUCAGUUCCAGCCUUGCCUUCCGUAUCAUCCGAUCCUGCCGAUUGUCUUUGCUGCGCGUGUGAUUCUAACCAAUGGUGGCGGCAAAACGGCUGCUGAUACACACACCCACCCACUCACACACACUCACACACACUCUCACACACAGACACACACACACACACACACACACACACACACACACACACACACACACACACACACACACACACACACACACACACACACACACACACA